rnacentral:rRNA from 1 species
AGUUUGAUCAUGGCUCAGAUUGAACGCUGGCGGCAGGCCUAACACAUGCAAGUCGAGCGACAGCACAAGUAAGUUUACUUAUGAGGUGGCGAGCGGCGGACGGGUGAGUAAUGCCUAGGGAUCUGCCCAGUCGAGGGGGAUAACAGUUGGAAACGACUGCUAAUACCGCAUACGCCCUACGGGGGAAAGAGGGGGACCUUCGGGCCUCUCGCGAUUGGAUGAACCUAGGUGGGAUUAGCUAGUUGGUGAGGUAAUGGCUCACCAAGGCGACGAUCCCUAGCUGUUCUGAGAGGAUGAUCAGCCACACUGGGACUGAGACACGGCCCAGACUCCUACGGGAGGCAGCAGUGGGGAAUAUUGCACAAUGGGGGAAACCCUGAUGCAGCCAUGCCGCGUGUGUGAAGAAGGCCUUCGGGUUGUAAAGCACUUUCAGUAGGGAGGAAAGGGUGAGUCUUAAUACGGCUCAUCUGUGACGUUACCUACAGAAGAAGGACCGGCUAACUCCGUGCCAGCAGCCGCGGUAAUACGGAGGGUCCGAGCGUUAAUCGGAAUUACUGGGCGUACAGCGUGCGCA